rnacentral:rRNA from 1 species
AUUGAACGCUGGCGGCAGGCCUAACACAUGCAAGUCGAACGAGUGGCGGACGGGUGAGUAAUGUCUGGGAAACUGCCCGCUGGAGGGGGAUAACAACUGGAAACGGUAGCGAAUACCGCAUACCAGCGGAUGUGCCCAGAUGGGAUUAGCUAGUAGGUUGGGUAACGGCUCACCUAGGCGAAGAUCCCUAGCUGGUCUGAGAGGAUGGCCAGCCACACGGGAACGUAGACACGGUCCAGACUCCUACGGGCGGCAGCAGUGGGGAAUAUUGCCCAAUGGGCGCAAGCCUGAUACAGCCAUGCCGCGUGUAUGAAGAAGGCCUUCGGGUUGUAGAGUACUUUCGGCGAGGAGGCGUUACUCGAAGAAUAAGCCCCGGCUAACUCCGUGCCAGCAGCCGCGGUAAUAC